rnacentral:rRNA from 1 species
GGAGACAGGUGCUGCAUGGCUGUCGUCAGCUCGUGUCGUGAGAUGUUGGGUUAAGUCCCGCAACGAGCGCAACCCUCGCCCUUAGUUGCCAGCAUUUGGUUGGGCACUCUAAGGGGACUGCCGGUGAUAAGCCGAGAGGAAGGUGGGGAUGACGUCAAGUCCUCAUGGCCCUUACGGGCUGGGCUACACACGUGCUACAAUGGUGGUGACAGUGGGCAGCGAGACCGCGAGGUCGAGCUAAUCUCCAAAAGCCAUCUCAGUUCGGAUUGCACUCUGCAACUCGAGUGCAUGAAGUUGGAAUCGCUAGUAAUCGUGGAUCAGCAUGCCACGGUGAAUACGUUCCCGGGCCUUGUACACACCGCCCGUCACACCAUGGGAGUUGGUUUUACCCGAAGG